rnacentral:rRNA from 1 species
UGCGCAGGCGGAAUAAUAAGUCAGUGGUGAAAUCUCUCGGCUCAACCGGGAAACUGCCAUUGAUACUGUUAUUCUUGAGUACAGUUGAAGUGGGCGGAAUGUGUCAUGUAGCGGUGAAAUGCUUAGAUAUGACACAGAAUACCGAUAGCGAAGGCAGCUCACUAAGCUGUAACUGACGCUCAUGCACGAAAGCGUGGGGAUCAAACAGGAUUAGAUACCCUGGUAGUCC